rnacentral:rRNA from 1 species
CGACUCUCGGCAACGGAUAUCUCGGCUCUCGCAUCGAUGAAGAACGUAGCGAAAUGCGAUACCUGGUGUGAAUUGCAGAAUCCCGCGAACCAUCGAGUCUUUGAACGCAAGUUGCGCCCGAGGCCAUCCGGCCGAGGGCACGCCUGCCUGGGCGUCACGCCAAAA